CCUUGACAUCUGCAGGCAGCAGCAGCCUGCUGGGACUUCCCAUCCUCAGAGUUGUCUCUUCUCAUGGCAGAGGAACCCAGCAGGUGAAGAGGAGGCUCAUGAGGCUGCCCCAAGCCUGGAGUCUGGGUAGCAGUGUGGGACCUCUCCUUGCACCUGGACUACCUCCAAGUCCAGGAUGGCUGUUGGAUUGUCCCAGGACACCCAGCCCAGCAGCUCCAGCUGCUGAGCAGCAGGAUAUGGGGUCCGUGGCACCUCCUGGGUUCGAGUGCAGUGCUUCCCAACACCCUUGGUCUGGAGCUGUGGAUGGAGAAACCUUGGUUAAGCAGAGGGGUUUGGGGAAAGGAGGUCCGAGGAGCUGUUCCCUCCAGCCUAGCUGCUGCCGACCUUGGCUAGAGGGGCAGGGACCCGUCCCAGUAAUGCUUCCCGAGGGGCUGAGCUCAAAAAUCCAUGGAACUCACUUCUGCAGGAGGUCCUGGCUGGUCUUGCAUCACGGUGCAGCUCCUUCCAAGAGGCACUGGCAGACUUGUGUGCAGGUGUGUCACAGACAGGUGCGAGGUCUGGCUCCCAAAGCUUCCAGUGGAGGCUCUAUUUCGUUUCCAAGAGUUACCUGCCUCCUCCCUUGCAGCCUGCCAGUCCCUCGCACUGUGCUCCAGUCCCAGAGGACCACCAGCCAAGCCCUCCCUCCUGCCAGCCGCCAGGGCUUGUGUUUGCUGAUCAAAACCAGCUUUUGUCCUGUGACUCUGGUUUUAGCUCCUCAACACCUUUGGCUCCCAGGGCUUGACUCUGAAGAGCAGAACCUUGCUUGCUCUGAGCUGAACGUUUGUUUUCUUACCACACAAACCCCCAGCUGAACUGAGGUAGUGUUUGGGAGUCACAGAGCUCCUGAACCAGCUCUCAGGAGCUCCCAAACUGCCCCACUAUGCCCACCCCAUCGUGCACUUGCAGCCCAAAGUGAGAGCACUGAGCAUGGGCCCACAAGGGACAGCAAAGUCUCAGCUGCAGAGACCUUCAGCCAGAGCUGCACUGGGCUGUGCUCCACCUGAGGCCACAGCUACCACCCCUGAGAGCUGCCCCUGCCCUGCGGGUGUCCUGGCAUUGAUCUCAGAGAAGACAAAGCACCUCCUGCUCCUCAAAGCCUCUCCUGAAGCAGCAGCUCCCAU